UAAAGGUUUAGUUGAGUUGAGUUGGAACAUUGGAUAUUUUGAAGCAGUUUGAGGCUGGUGAAUGAAAGCUUUGUGACUGGACUAAAUAAGGUUGCCGUAUGAUUUUUAUCCAAAGUAAAUAAAAUGGAGAUAUUUCUUAACAGUAAGAUGAAAAAAAUGAUGCAUGAUAUCUUUUUAUUUCAUAAAUCCAAAUCUAAAUAUACCUUGUCUUGUUUAAUUGUUUAUUUGCUGAUAGUCAAUGAUGAGGUCUUAAUGCAUGUAUGGAGUAUUGCCAUCUUUACUAAGAUUUUGAUUAACAUUUUGAGGGGCUUUUGAAGGAGAG
rnacentral:misc_RNA from 1 species